CCCAACCAGCCUGUUUGCCCCUCCCCUGAAAGGGGACAUGUGACUAUACCUGGAGAUGGUUUUAAUUGCCACAACUGUGGAAUGCUCUCAUCGUCUAGAGGGGUAGAGAUGAGGAAUGCUGUUAAAUAUCCCACAACGCACACAACAGAGAAUAAUCGCAGAAGGUCAAAGAGACACUACUGAUAAACCUCGCCUUCAGAGAAUGAACUCCUGAUCUCUCACUAACUCACCUGCCACUAAACCAAACAAAAUGUUGAUGGGCUUGAUGGUGACCAAGAACAUAUAGCAAGUCCUGGACCAUCAAAUAAUUUGAAGAGGAGCAGUGACCAGCUCUAGUGAUGCGCUUCUCUGAUUAUAUGCAUCAUCAUCUGAAAUCUGUUAAGCAUCUAGCCUCUCACUAUGUCAUCAUCAAGUGAUUGGCAAAGGGAAUUCAGUGGAACCUCUGUCCUCUUAAGAGUUUACAAUAUGAGAUGGAGAGUAAUGACUAGGCAGCACUUUAUAUAAAGGACCAAAUCUCUACCAGAGCUGCAAACAAGCAGUCAGAUGGAUUGCCCUGUGAGCUUUCUCCUCUACAAUGAACCCACAGAAAGGUCAGCAGCCGGACACAGAAAGAGGAGAAGGAUCCUGAAUAAACACAGACAGUUUAAUCAACCGUGAAGAAAUCCAAGAGUUGACUGAAAGUGCUUUGUCGGGAAGAGAAGCGAGGCCCCUGCCCUCAGAGAAAGGCGAGGAAGGUUGGAGGUCAUUUAGCAGCAGAGAUGGCCGCUGACCACAGAGGCCACCACGGAGGCACUAAGAGCCUGGUAAGGAGGUCAGUGGGGAGACUCAAAAGCCAAAGGCCAGGGGAUGGAGAGGGUAGGGUGGAAAGUGGCAUUUGAGUAUUUUCCAAAGAACCCAGCAAAUAAACGUUCCCUAGAAA